CCUACGGGAGGCAGCAGUGAGGAAUAUUGGUCAAUGGGCGCAAGCCUGAACCAGCCAAGUCGCGUGAAGGAUGACUGCCCUACGGGUUGUAAACUUCUUUUGUCAAGGAAUAAAGUGAGGCACGUGUGCCUGUUUGUGGGUACUUGAUGAAUAAGCAUCGGCUAACUCCGUGCCAGCAGCCGCGGUAAUACGGAGGAUGCGAGCGUUAUCCGGAUUUAUUGGGUUUAAAGGGUGCGCAGGCGGGCUGUUAAGUCAGCGGUAAAAGCCCGGGGCUCAACCCCGGCGAGCCGUUGAAACUGGCUGGCUUGAGUUGGCGAGAGGUACGCGGAAUGCGCGGUGUAGCGGUGAAAUGCUUAGAUAUCGCGCAGAACCCCGAUUGCGAAGGCAGCGUACCGGCUCCACACUGACGCUGAGGCACGAAAGCGUGGGUAUCGAACAGGAUUAGAUACCCCAGUAGUC
rnacentral:rRNA from 1 species